rnacentral:rRNA from 1 species
GAUGAACGCUGGCGGUAUGCUUAACACAUGCAAGUCGAACGGAGUGCUUCGGCACUUAGUGGCGGACGGGUGAGUAACGCGUGAGAAUCUGGCUUCGGGUUCGGGGCAACAGUGGGAAACUGCUGCUAAUACCGGAUGUGCCUAAGGGUAAAAGAUUAAUUGCCCGAAGAUGAGCUCGCGUCCGAUGAGCUAGUUGGUGUGGUAAGAGCGCACCAAGGCGUCGAACGGUAGCUGGUCUGAGAGGACGAUCAGCCACACUGGGACUGAGACACGGCCCAGACUCCUACGGGAGGCAGCAGUGGGGAAUUUUCCGCAAUGGGCGAAAGCCUGACGGAGCAAUACCGCGUGAGGGAGGAAGGCUCUUGGGUUGUAAACCUCUUUUCUCAGGGAAGAAAAAAAUGACGGUACCUGAGGAAUCAGCAUCGGCUAACUCCGUGCCAGCCGCCGCAGUAAGAC